rnacentral:rRNA from 1 species
AGAGUUUGAUCCUGGCUCAGGAUGAACGCUAGCGGCAGGCUUAAUACAUGCAAGUCGUGGGGCAGCAUGGUGUAGCAAUACACUGAUGGCGACCGGCAAACGGGUGCGGAACACGUACGCAACCUUCCUUUAACUGGAGAAUAGCCCGGGGAAACCCGGAUUAAUACUCCGUAACAUUAUGAAGUGGCAUCACUUUAUAAUUAUAGCUCCGGCGGUUGAAGAUGGGCGUGCGUCUGAUUAGGUAGUUGGCGGGGUAACGGCCCACCAAGCCUACGAUCAGUAACUGGUGUGAGAGCACGACCAGUCACACGGGCACUGAGACACGGGCCCGACUCCUACGGGAGGCAGCAGUAAGGAAUAUUGGUCAAUGGACGCAAGUCUGAACCAGCCAUGCCGCGUGGAGGAUGAAGGUCCUCUGGAUUGUAAACUUCUUUUAUUUGGGAAGAAACCCCCGAUUUCUAUUGGGGUUGACGGUACCAGAUGAAUAAGCACCGGCUAACUCCGUGCCAGCAGCCGCGGUAAUACGGAGGGUGCAAGCGUUAUCCGGAUUCACUGGGUUUAAAGGGUGCGUAGGCGGGUUGGUAAGUCCGUGGUGAAAUCUCCAAGCUUAACUUGGAAACUGCCGUGGAUACUAUCAAUCUUGAAUAUAGUGGAGGUGAGCGGAAUAUGUCAUGUAGCGGUGAAAUGCUUAGAUAUGACAUAGAACACCCAUUGCGAAGGCAGCUCGCUACACUAUUAUUGACGCUGAGGCACGAAAGCGUGGGGAUCAAACAGGAUUAGAUACCCCAGUAGUCC